rnacentral:lncRNA from 1 species
GUGUCACAAUGCAAGCUUUGUUCUGAAAAAGAAUCUCAUAGAUUUUAUAGGCUCUAGAAGGAGAGUGACAUUCCAAUUUUCUCCCAAUUCUAUUGGAAGGUCAAUCUUAAAUGCUGUAUAGGAGGAUCUCAUUGAGAAGAUAUCAUUUGAGCAAAGAUGUAAAGCAAGGGAGGGAAUGAGUCAGUGGCUACAUAGCGAGAGUGUCCUAGGCAGAGGAAACAGCUUCUACAAAAGCCCUGAAGCAAGAGAAUGUUUGAAGUGUUCAAGAAUAAACAGGAGAUGCAGAAUGAAUGGAAUUGAGAGUGAGUGAGGCAGUCGGAUACAAGAGAGACUAAUAUGGGGCAGCACUGAAGACUGCUGACAGCAGCCACAUGAGUGAGCUCAGAGUGGACACAACAGCCCCUUCAGAGGCUGCAGGGAUGGCAGACAGCCUGACUGCAAUGUCGUGAAAGAUGCUGAGGCAGAACCAUGCAGCAAAGUCAUUCCCAGAUUCCUGACUCUCAGAAAAUGUAACUCACACCCUUCAACACUGGUCCACCCUGGAAGUUGGAAAGAAAUAUCUUCACUGACAUGAGAACAACAUAUUUGCCUAAUGUUUGUCAUUUUUAUUUUAAAAAACACAUUUCCUUCAUGUGCAAUUUUAAAUUAUAAUUGGAUGUAUAAUAUCUCGAGACCCUGGCUUUUUCUUUAAGCACAAUUUCUCCUUUUUUAUUACAUAAAAAGUAAUGAGAAAAAUAGAUAUUCAUUCGACAAAAGAAUGUUCAAGCCUAGUUACUUAAUGAGCCUUUAUUUGCAUUUGGACCCUAAAAUUAUCCCAUCCCUUCACUCCAUGUAUCCUGUAUUUCUGAUUUUCCUCUAAGAACCAGGACUCAAUUCCUGCUCCAUGACUACAUUUGGAACUUCACUGCUGAGUUUCCGGUUCUGCUAGAGCUUCCAAGAAUGGUGGGCUAAAGUCCCUUUCCUCGAUAAUCUCAUUUCUCAUGGUUUUCUACUUAAAGCAAUACUGUCUAUGAAGUGCAACCUGGCUCUUCCUUCUCCCGUAAUCAUUGCCUCUCUGGAUUUUCCUUCUUCCAAGACUCCCUUUCCUGAUUCCCUUUAACACCCCUUUCAUAAUUCACAUCCAGAGAGUUCUCUGCAAUCACCUACCCAUCCCAAUCUCCAUUAUUUAUUUCAUGUUAUUACCUUUCACAAUUCAUAUAGUAAAUGUUACUUAGAACAGAGGCUGCUCUAGUGUUUCAUUGAUUUGUCUCAUUUUAUUUCUGGUCAUUGAAUGGCACAGUGAUAUCACAUGAGGUUGGACAGAGUUAUUUUCCAUCGCCAUCAUAAAGCUUUAUGACUAUAAGUGGGUUUGUCUUUUACCAGUUC